UGGAGACCCCUGGUGUAGAUUAACUCAGCAAUGAGAACAUGUAGACUAACUCAGCGAUGGGAACGUGAAGAUUAAGAUGGGAAAUCUUAUUGGCGGGGAAGUGCCGCAGGGCUGCUGAAAUCAGACUGAUGCAAGAAGCAGACGUGAUGUUUCCCUGUCUGUGGUUUAAAUAAAUGGAGCAGCUGGCAGCUGGCCUCUGUAAAAACACGCCGCUGUUUUUGGGAAACCUUACAGCGGGAUUCACCGCUCCACGUGCGUUCACGGCCCACAGAUUCCCUGUUGAAGAAGCACUCGGUGAGCGACUUCUCGAACCCGGAGCACUCCACCUCGUUCAUGUGGACCGGGCCCAUACCUGCAGGGGGAACAGGAAGAGCAUGUAUCAACCACGUCGUACGAAGAUGGCACGCAGUUCAGCAUAGGUGAACCAGGGGUUUAAAUCCACAUUAAGGGUGACAAAGGCGUUCACAUCCACAGCAAAGGAGUUCAGACUGUCGGGGUUCAGACUGUCAAACACUCAAGACCGUGGCUGCUGUGCGUGUUGAAGGUUCUCCUGGCACGGACACUGAGACGUAAACGGAGAACAGCUGCGUGGGCCUCACAGGAAGAGCUUUAACAGCCUGUUCUCCCAACAGGGAGACCAGGCAGCUGCACUGAAAUGGAAGCGUGCUGCAAAGGACGCCUCGGGGAAAGGUGUGGGAUGGAGGAGGGGAUCUGACAGUGAAUAAAGGAGCGCACACACACACACACACACACACAGAUGCACUCACAGAGAUGCACACACACACAUACACACACAUGGAUGCACUCACAGAGAUGCACACACACACACAGACACAGACACACACACGCACAUGCACACACACACAGAUGCACACACACACACACAGACACACACAAAUGUACACACACACAGAUGCACACACACACACACACAGACACACGCACACACACAUACUCACUCACCCAUCACAGUCAGACCCACAGCUUCAUGCUCAGUAUCCUGCGGCCCAUGCUAGCCUGUGCUAGCCCACACAGCUCACAGGUGCUGCUCAUAUGGCUUGCAGGUGUGGCUUGGCCUCUCCAGGAGGCUGCUGGCUCACUGAGGCCAGAAUGUAUACUCUAUUCUCCCUCCCUGACUG